CAUAAAUUAAGCAACAAAUCAGCAGAGCAUGUAAAACCUGAUAAAUGUUUGAAUGAAUAAUAUAUGCGAUAAUUAUCAUUACAAAAAAUAGACGAGAUUAGAUAAAAGAAAACAUUUAGUUACGGUAGACCAGUGAGAGGUAGGGGCGGAGGAGAGGGAAGAAAUUCAUUCAGUGAAGAAAAGUUAUAUACUGAACUGUGCGUGUACGUGUAAUAAAUAUUUGGUAAAUAUUCAAUUCGAACAAUACGAAAAUUUGAUAUGAUCUGAAGCACAUUGUUGUGUUGAUGACGAUGACGAAAAACACUAGGGCUUCUCCUUAAGUCAAUUAACGAAGCGCUCUUUUGCGAAGAAAGUGCUCACAGCCGCUUGUAAUAACGAAGAACGAAUGAUUUAAUAAAAAUAAACUAAUUUUUGUUUUUUUUUUUGUUUUUAGGCUAAAGUUAAAAAGUUAACGGACAGACGUAUCGACAGAAAUUAAUCUAGUUUUCUGCUACGCUAUGAAUAAUUCCCUCCGACAAUAUAUUAUUUAUUACAAAUCCAGUGUAUGAGCGUGUUGAAGUCGACACACUUUAAAUUUGUUGUUCGCAUGCCAUAAUAACAUUGAAUUACCUUAGUCUCUUUAUAUUCAAGCUACUGAGACUGAGGUUGACUAAGAUAUUGGAAAUGAUGUGCAUAAGAACAUUGCGCAUCAAUUCUUUUUAUUAAACAAACAUAUCGCGCGUCGGUCUGUCUCUAAGUUUAACAAAGUUGUUGCAAUGAAAAAAGAUUAAGCAUUAAAAGCGCAACGAUGUCCAACUUGAAGCAAUAGGCGAUAGCUUGGGAGGCUCGCAGUUCACGCAGUGCACCUAAAAGAAGUGAAAAUCAAGAUCGUUGGCGAAGAAGAAAAUUGCCGGAUAGCGAGGUAUUUGUCGCGCUUGCACACAUAAAUAUCAAAAGUAGGAAAAUUGUAUUCGACUGUGACGAAAAUUUUUAUCUAAUGUUAAUACCAACUUGCGUGCAGAGGCUUCCCAAAUUUAAAGCUGGUGUCUUCAUUUUCGCGACCAAGACAGUAUUUGUCAUAGACGUUACACAAACGACAAACAAACAAACAAACAGAUAUGUUUACAUCCAGGUGAGAGUUCAAUGCUCACCAUGAACAUACGUACCUCAUGGGGUCGAUGAAAUCUUUCUCUAGACAUUGCGAAAGUCUGACGAAAUGAAUGUGCCUUCGUGGUGCUUUGGUGGUGAGAUUAUUGUUGCGCAUUCGGUAAACGACACCUCAUGCCAUAAUUAACUAGUCUGCUGUGAUGGUGAUUGUCUAACUGUUGCUGGUUUUUUGCUGGUAGUAGCGGUAUGCUGAUGACGGUGACGGUGGUGGCGUUAUAACGACGGACCGAAGCUUUUCGAAAGUUAUCAAAACAAAAAUAAAAAGAAAAACGAAAAAUAAAAAAAAUAAAUAAA